CUUUGGCCUACUGAUUUCUUUUCCUUUGGAUAUAUAGCCAAUAGUGGCAUUGCUGGAUCAUAUGGCAGUUCCUUUUUUUUUUUUUUUUUUUUUUUUUUUUAGAGGGAGUCUCACUCUCACUCUGUCACCAGGCUGGAGUGCAGUGGCAUGAUCUCAGUUCACUGUAACCUCUGCCUCCUGGGUUCAAGCAAUUCUCCUGCCUCAGCCUCUUGAGUAUCUGGGACUACAGGUGUGUGCCACCAUACCCAGCUAAUUUUUUUUUUUUUUUUUUUUGUAUUUUUAGUAGAGAUGGGAUUUCAUCAUGUUGGCCAGGAUGGUCUCCAUCUCUUAACCUCGUGAUCCGCCCGCCUCGGCCUCCCGAAGGGCUGGGAUUGCAGGCAUGAGCCACCACACCCAGCCUUUCUCUUUUUUUUUUUUUUUUUUUUUUUUUUUUGAGACGGAGUUUCUCUCAUUGACCAAGCUGGAGUGCAAUGGUGCGAUCUUGGCUCACUGCAGCCUCCUCCUCCUGAGUUCAAGCGAUUCUCCUGCCUCAGCCCCUCAAGUAACUGGGAUUACUACACCACCAUGCCUGGCUAAUUUUUUGUAUUUCUAAUUGAAACAGGGUUUCACCAUGUUGGCCAGGCUGGUCUCUAACUCCUGACCUCAGGUGAUCUGCCCACCUCGGCCUCCCAAAGUGCUGGGAUUACAGGCGUGAGCCACCGCGCCUGGCCUGACAGUUGUAUUUUUAAUGUUUUGAGGAACUUCCAUACUGUUUUCCAUAGUGACUGUGCUAACUUACAUUCCCACCAAACACGUGUAAGUAUUCCCCUUUCUCCAUAUCCUCACCAGAACUUGUUAUAUUUUGUCUUUUUAAUAACAGCCCUUCUAAUUGGGGUGAGAUAAUAUCUCAUUGCAGUUUUGAUCUGCAUUUCCCAGAUGAUUCGUGAUACUGAGCAUUUUUUCGUAUACCUGCUGGCCAUUUAUAUGUCUUCUUUUAAGAAAUAUCUACUCAGAUUUUUUGCCUUCUUAAAAAUUGAGUUAUUUGGUUUUUUGCUAUUGAGUUAUUUGAGUUUCUUAGUACAUUCUGGGUAUUAACCUUUUGUCGGAUGUAUAGUUUGCAAAUAUUUUCUCUCAUUCUGUAAACUAUCUCUUCACUUAGGUUUGUUUGCUGUACAGAUGAUUUUUAGUUUGAUGUAAUCAUAUUUGUCUAUUUUUGCCUAUGCUUCUGAGGUUUCAUCCAAAAAAUCUUUGCCCAGAUCAAUAUCAUGAAGCAUUUUCUCGAUGUUUUCUUCUAGUAGUUUCAUAGUUUCAGGUCUUACAUUUAAGUCUUUAAUCCAUUUUGAGUUGAUUUUUGUAAAUGAUGAGAGAUAAAGGUCUAGUUUCAUUCUUCUGCAUGUGGAUAUUGUUUUCCCAGCACCAUUUAUUGGAGAUUGUUCUUUCCCCAAUGUGUGUUCUUGGUGCUUUUGUUGAAUAUCAGUUGGCUGUAAAUGUAUGAAGUUACAUCUGGGUUCUCUAUUCUGUUCCAUUGGUCUGUGUGUCUGUUUUUAUGCCAGCAUCAUGCUGUUUUGGUUGCUACUGCUUUGUAAUUUAUUUUGAUGUCAGAUAGUGUGAUGUCUCAAGCUUUCUUCUUUUUGUUGAAGACUUGUUUGGUUAUUUGGGAUCUUCUGUAGUUUCAUACAAAUUUUAGGCUUGUUUUUUCUAUUUAUCUGAAUAAUGUCAUUGGUAUUUUGAUAGGGAUUGCAUUGAAUCUGUGGAUCGUUUUGGAUAGUAUGGACAUUUUAACAAUAUUAAUUCUUCCUGUCCAUGAACAUGAAACAUUUUUCCACUUGUCUGUGUUUUCUUCAACUUCUUUCAUCAAUGUUUUGUAGUUCUUAUUGUAGAGAUCUUUCACUUUUUUGGUUAAGUUUAUUCGUAGGUAACUCUUAAUUUAUAUUUUUGAAAACUCCAAAUAUAUAUAUAGUGAGCAUAUAUAUAUA
rnacentral:lncRNA from 10 species